rnacentral:ncRNA from 1 species
AGUAACCAUGGGCAAACCAAUCGAAAGGUUGGGACGCAAAGUUUUGGAGUCUGCCGUAUCGCCAGAUGCAAUGAUCGUCCAACUGCCCCG